rnacentral:misc_RNA from 1 species
GUCCGAGUCGAGUACACUUCCACAGGAGCAGCAGGUUUCGUGCGGUUCACGCAGCGACCAAGCGACGCGAUAGCGUACGCUGGCUAACUGGGUUUGGUCGCGGUACCUCGUUCGCUUUGUCGAGGAAAAAAGGCGUCCCUGAAUAGAACUAGAGUUUGUUUGGUAAACGUGCUGGACGUGGCCAUGGGGUUUCAGCUUCCGCUUAGCAGGAACCUGCUUGCUUGGUCGAUUGCGGGCGCAGUUUUCUACUGGUUCGUGUACAAACCCGAGAGGGAGCGAAAACCUAGCACUCGCAGCCGAACGCCGGCGGUGCGUGGCGCCGGUGCUUCAGACUUGGUGCUCAUCGGUGGCAACGACCUCUACGGGAAGGGUCGAGUGGGCACAACGAGCGGCGCCACCGGCCGUCGGAUUCACUCUGAGGACGAGCGAUCCUCGUCCUGACCUGCGGCAAAGGAUGCUCGACAAUGGCGUCGACAGGAACUGCAACAGAGCAUCAGGAGCUAUUUGGCCCAUAACUGUCUCGAAGAACGCAGAACAAAAGCUUGGACAGGGAAAAGUCACAGCGCAUAUGGCUCUGUGUGUGUGUGUGUCUGUGUCUGGAGCGGCAGAAACGACCUCGUAGAUCAGCUCGACGCGAGUCUGCUGCUGCUCGACCAGGAAUGCAGCGAAGCGUUUACGGCUGAAACCGAUAUUGCCUGCCGCCAGCACCAGAACGACAACCGGGGUAGACACGAGUACCUCUCAAUUCUAUUCAAUUCUGUUGUCGCCGUCAUCUCUGACCGACUUGGAAAGCGCUUGGAUUGGUUCAAAGCACCUCAUCCAACAGCGCCGAAGCAGCGCCAACGGUUCACUGCCAGGGCCGCCGCUCUCGCCCCUUUCGUAGGCGUCCAACGUAGCGCAAAACGCCUCCCGGCAGUAUGCAUUCUUGCUGGGAGCGCAUUCAUCAGCGCAUCAUUCUCUUCGCAUGGCUUUUUUUUCUACCAACACGACGACGUCGACGUGGGUCGGUACUGCCCUCAUCUAGAGACCUGCAGCGAUCAUGUGGUGUCAUGCUCAAGGUCGAUUACGGUUGCCGGUGGGUACACUCAGAUCACCGGGUCGACGUGCACGACGUUCUGUCUGUGGAUCCACAAGAGAACCCGAGCGAAUACCGAGUCGCUCCACGGUGUCCUCAUAGCGCCCUGGUUCUGUGCGAAACAAGUAUCGCAAAAGUCUUCGGCGUUGUGCGACGAUAUGCUCCAGGCUUCGUUUCGUCCUCACGUCUUUCCUAUGGAGUCGCAAGUGUCGGGUCAGGUUCGCUAUGCGAGUGGUCAGAAUAGCGAUCUGCACCUCGGGAGAGCCCGUGUCGAGUUCGUGUCGCUGAAAGGCUCUCACUGCAACGCGCUCCCGCCAGGUCUGGAGCUGUUCCCCUGUGGCGAACUCCGCGAGCAGUGCCGUCUGCACAGGUUCUGGCAACGAGUCGUAAACGUUUCGCGGUAUGCCGACGAGCUCCGCAGCUACUGGGAACGACUGUGGCGGUGCAGUGACCGACGUUCGUUCUGCGGAAACGUCCUCAGGCCUGCCCGUUGCAGCCGUUUGGCCGUUGCCGCCGCUGCCGACGCUACUGCCGUUGGUGUCAGUCGCCUCAGUUGCAAGCGGCCGCAGGGCUGGACAUAGCCCUGUAGCAGCCCGUGAAAGCGCAGAAAGAGCCCAGGUCUGUCGCCGCCAGAGACCGACAGCCCCGCUGUUCAUGAACGCUGUGGUCACGCGUGACGCCCCGCACGAAACGAAGCAUGUACGUCAAGCCUCGCAGCUGGAAGUACCCGUCGACGUCAUACGUGCUGUGUGUCAGUUUCAUUCCACAAUUAUCAUUUUUGUUCCUAAAGAUUCAGGUUUAUCCCACAUGAGCCGCCGAUCGAUCGGCGGACGCCUGCAUGGUCGUCCACGACGGGCGCGCGUGCUUUUGCAACUAGCUCCUUACCGCGUUGCCUCGCUGGUACGCAGUUCACACGAACAGGAAUGGCUUUCAAAAGGUUUGUGGAAGUUGGCCGACUGUGUAUUAUCAGCUACGGUGAGCAUGCUGACAAGAUCUGUGUUAUCGUGGAUAUCCAGGAUCAGGGUCAUGUUGUGAUUGAUGCCACGGCCGACUCCGGAGUCCCUCGUACGGUCAUCAACGUGAAGCGCUUGAAGUUGACGGACGUGGUCGUUAAGUUGCCUCGUGCUUGCAAAACGAGCGUCGUACGGAAAGCUCUUGAGGCGCAGCAGGCUGUGCAGCGUUUCCGGGAAACUGCAUGGGGUCAAAAGGUUGAAAAGCAACGAGUGCGUGCCCGGUUAACCGACUUUGAUCGGUUUCGCGUGAUGGUUGCAAGGAAGCGACGCAGCCAGCUCAUCAAACAUGAACUGGGACGACUCCGAUCUGAAACAAAGACUUCUGCGUCGUAGGAGUGAUGAGCGCGUAUUUACGCUGGCUUGCUCGAAACAGGGCUUGCGGCAGUAGCCGCAGCAGGUUCCUCGUCGGCAGGCGGCUGCGAUGACGCCCGCUCCUGCUCCAAUCGUCUGCGUUUGCGGCGAACAAUGGCAGCACUGAAGCGGGCCCCUGCAUUCCAGGUGAAUGCCUCGUAUCGUAUCGAUAUGCUCGAGUCACUCUUGGCAUUGUCAAGCAUCGACUCCAGCGCUCGCCGCUUCUCCAGACCCAGGUACGGCAAAAUCCAUCGUAAAAGCUCAAGAUU